UACGGGGGGGGCAAGCGUUGUUCGGAAUUACUGGGCGUAAAGGGCUCGUAGGUGGCCAACUAAGUCAGACGUGAAAUCCCUCAGCUUAACUGGGGAACUGCGUCUGAUACUGGAUGGCUUGAGUUUGGGAGAGGGACGCGGAAUUCCAGGUGUAGCGGUGAAAUGCGUAGAUAUCUGGAGGAACACCGGUGGCGAAGGCGGCAUCCUGGACCAACACUGACACUGAGGAGCGAAAGCCAGGGGAGCAAACGGG
rnacentral:rRNA from 1 species